rnacentral:lncRNA from 1 species
CGAUUUGUAUGUGGACAAGUGUUCAAGAAGUGAAAUUCAGCAUCUUAGUAAGAUUAUAAUAUGGAACUAUAUGACCCUUCUAUGAUCAAUAUAACCAGGACUAUAUUGUUCAUGUUUAUGACGAAUAAUAUUGUUUUGGUGUUACAGACUGUGAUUUUCAUCAGUCAAGUUAGUAAUAUUGUAUUGUUUUUUUUACAAAAAAUUUAGAACAAC